UACGUAGGGGGCAAGCGUUAUCCGGAUUUACUGGGUGUAAAGGGAGCGUAGACGGCGAUGCAAGCCAGAUGUGAAAGCCCGGGGCUCAACCCCGGGACUGCAUUUGGAACUGUAUAGCUAGAGUGUCGGAGAGGCAGGCGGAAUUCCUAGUGUAGCGGUGAAAUGCGUAGAUAUUAGGAGGAACACCAGUGGCGAAGGCGGCCUGCUGGACGAUGACUGACGUUGGGGCUCGAAAGCGUGGGGAGCAAACAGG
rnacentral:rRNA from 1 species